UACGAAGGGGGCUAGCGUUGCUCGGAAUCACUGGGCGUAAAGGGUGCGUAGGCGGGUCUUUAAGUCAGGGGUGAAAUCCUGGAGCUCAACUCCAGAACUGCCUUUGAUACUGAGGAUCUUGAGUUCGGGAGAGGUGAGUGGAACUGCGAGUGUAGAGGUGAAAUUCGUAGAAAUUCGCAAGAACACCAGUGGCGAAGGCGGCUCACUGGCCCGAUACUGACGCUGAGGCACGAAAGCGUGGGGAGCAAACAGG
rnacentral:rRNA from 1 species